CUCAAACUUGGAGAGAAACCUAGAAAGUUCAGCUUGAGUUUCGAAGAACAAAACAGACCCGUUUUCAUAUGGGAAGUUUAGAGGAGGAGGGACUGUUAAGGCUGAGGCACCUUGCCUGGAACGAGAACGUUUGGAGGAGCGUCUAGACAUAUUGGAAAAUUUUUACUGCUGAAUUUUUGAGACUAAGAUGCAAGGAAUUGACCUUUG
rnacentral:lncRNA from 1 species